rnacentral:rRNA from 1 species
GGACUACUGGGGUAUCUAAUCCCGUUCGCUCCCCUGGCUUUCGCGCCUCAGCGUCAGAAAAGGUCCAGCAGUCCGCUUUCGCCACCGGCGUUCCUUCCGAUAUCAACGCAUUUCACCGCUCCACCGGAAGUUCCGACUGCCCCUACCUCCCUCCAGACCUCCAGUAUCCAAGGCACUUUUCCGGUUAAGCCGAAAGCUUUCACCCCGGACUGGGAGGCCCGCCUACGCGCCCUUUAAGCCCAGUGAUUCCGAACAACGUUCGCACGGUUCGUCUUACCGCGGCUGCUGGCAC